CCUACGGGCGGCAGCAGUAGGGAAUCUUCCACAAUGGGCGAAAGCCUGAUGGAGCAACGCCGCGUGGGUGAAGAAGGUCUUCGGAUCGUAAAACCCUGUUGUUAGAGAAGAAAGUGCGUGAGAGUAACUGUUCACGUUUCGACGGUAUCUAACCAGAAAGCCACGGCUAACUACGUGCCAGCAGCCGCGGUAAUACGUAGGUGGCAAGCGUUAUCCGGAUUUAUUGGGCGUAAAGGGAACGCAGGCGGUCUUUUAAGUCUGAUGGGAAAGCCUUCGGCUUAACCGGAGUAGGGCAUUGGAAACUGGGAGACUUGAGUGCAGAAGAGGAGAGUGGACCUCCAUGUGUAGCGGUGAAAUGCGUAGAUAUAUGGAAGAACACCAGUGGCGAAAGCGGCUCUCUGGUCUGUAACUGACGCUGAGGUUCGAAAGCGUGGGUAGCAAACAGGAUUAGAUACCCCAGUAGUC
rnacentral:rRNA from 1 species